UACAGAGGGGGCGAGCGUUGUUCGGAAUUACUGGGCGUAAGGGGCGCGUAGGCGGCCCGCUAAGUCGAACGUGAAAUCCCCAGGCUCAACCCGGGAACUGCGUCCGAUACUGGCAGGCUUGAAUCCGGGAGAGGGAUGUGGAAUUCCAGGUGUAGCGGUGAAAUGCGUAGAUAUCUGGAGGAACACCGGUGGCGAAGGCGGCAUCCUGGACCGAGAUUGACGCUGAGGCGCGAAAGCCAGGGGAGCAAACGGG
rnacentral:rRNA from 1 species